CUGCCGUAUACUGGGGGAUAACACUUAGAAAUAGGUGCUAAUACCGCAUAAGCGCACAGCUUCGCAUGAAGUGGUGUGAAAAACUCUGGUGGUAUACGAUGGUUCCGCGUCUGAUUAGCUUGUUGGCGGGGUAAUGGCUCACCAAGGCGACGAUCAGUAGCCGGCCUGAGAGGGUGAACGGCCACAUUGGGACUGAGACACGGCCCAAACUCCUACGGGAGGCAGCAGUGGGGAAUAUUGCACAAUGGGGGAAACCCUGAUGCAGCGACGCCGCGUGAGUGAAGAAGUAUUUCGGUAUGUAAAGCUCUAUCAGCAGGGAAGAAAUAGCGACCUUUGGGUCGCCAGACGGUACCUGAUUAAGAAGCCCCGGCUAACUACGUGCCAGCAGCCGCGGUAAUACGUAGGGGGCAAGCGUUAUCCGGAUUUACUGGGUGUAAAGGGAGCGUAGACGGCAGCACAAGUCUGAAGUGAAAUGCCGGGGCUUAACCCCGGAACUGCUUUGGAAACUGUGCAGCUAGAGUGCAGGAGAGGUAAGUGGAAUUCCUAGUGUAGCGGUGAAAUGCGUAGAUAUUAGGAGGAACACCAGUGGCGAAGGCGGCUUGCUGGACUGUAACUGACGUUGAGGCUCGAAAGCGUGGGGAGCAAACAGGAUUAGAUACCCUGGUAGUCCACGCUGUAAACGAUGA
rnacentral:rRNA from 1 species